rnacentral:rRNA from 1 species
UACGUAGGCAGCGAGCGUUGUUCGGAGUUACUGGGCGUAAAGAGUGCGUAGGCGGUUUUCUAAGUUUGGUGUGAAAUCUCCCGGCUCAACUGGGAGGGUGCGCCGAAGACUGGAAGGCUUGAGUAUGGGAGAGGUAAGCGGAAUUCCUGGUGUAGCGGUGAAAUGCGUAGAUAUCGGGAGGAACACCUGUGGCGAAGGCGGCCCCCUGGUUGGAUACUGACGCUGAUACGCGAAAGCGUGGGGAGCAAACAGG